CCUACGGGAGACAGCAGUGAGGAAUAUUGGUCAAUGGACGAGAGUCUGAACCAGCCAAGUAGCGUGAAGGAUGACUGCCCUAUGGGUUGUAAACUUCUUUUAUAUGGGAAUAAAACGUUCCACGUGUGGGAUUUUGUAUGUACCAUAUGAAUAAGGAUCGGCUAACUCCGUGCCAGCAGCCGCGGUAAUACGGAGGAUCCGAGCGUUAUCCGGAUUUAUUGGGUUUAAAGGGGGCGGAGGGGGAUUGUUAAGUCAGUUGUGAAAGUUUGCGGCUCAACCGUAAAAUUGCAGUUGAAACUGGCAGUCUUGAGUAGAGUAGAGGUAGGCGGAAUGCGUGGUGUAGCGGUGAAAUGCUUAGAUAUCACGAAGAACUCCGAUUGCGAAGGCAGUUCACUGGACUGCAACUGACACUGAGGCUCGAAAGUGUGGGUAUCAAACAGGAUUAGAUACCCUAGUAGUC
rnacentral:rRNA from 1 species